rnacentral:rRNA from 1 species
AAUGGGCGAAAGCCUGAUGGAGCAACGCCGCGUGUGUGAUGAAGGUCUUCGGAUCGUAAAGCACUUUCGACCGGGACGAAAAACCUUUGGCUAACAUCCAGGGGCCUGACGGUACCGGGAGAAGAAGCACCGGCUAACUCUGUGCCAGCAGCCGCGGUAAUACAGAGGGUGCAAGCGUUGUUCGGAAUUAUUGGGCGUAAAGCGCGUGUAGGCGGCUUUGCAAGUCAGAUGUGAAAGCCCGCGGCUUAACCGAGGAAGUGCGUCUGAAACUGCAGAGCUUGAGUCUCGGAGAGGAUGGCGGAAUUCCGCAAGUAGAGGUGAAAUUCGUAGAUAUGCGGAGGAACACCGGUGGCGAAGGCGGCCAUCUGGACGAGAACUGACGCUGAGACGCGAAAGCGUGGGGAGCAAA